rnacentral:rRNA from 1 species
UACAGAGGGGGCAAGCGUUGUUCGGAAUUACUGGGCGUAAAGGGCGCGUAGGCGGCCUGUUAAGUCGAACGUGAAAUCCCGGGGCUCAACCCCGGAACUGCCUUUGAUACUGCUGGUCUUGAGGUCGAGAGAGGUGAGUGGAAUUCCGAGUGUAGAGGUGAAAUUCGUAGAUAUCGGGAGGAACACCGGUGGCGAAGGCGGCGACCUGGGUCGAUACUGACGCUGAGGCGCGAAAGCGUGGGGAGCAAACAGG